rnacentral:rRNA from 1 species
UACAGAGGGUGCAAGCGUUGUUCGGAAUUAUUGGGCGUAAAGCGCGUGUAGGCGGCUUUGCAAGUCGGGUGUGAAAGCCCUCAGCUCAACUGAGGAAGUGCGCCCGAAACUGCAGAGCUUGAGUGCCGGAGAGGAUGGCGGAAUUCCCCAAGUAGAGGUGAAAUUCGUAGAUAUGGGGAGGAACACCGGUGGCGAAGGCGGCCUUCUGGACAGUGACUGACGCUGAGACGCGAAAGCGUGGGGAGCAAACAGG